UACGAAGGGGGCUAGCGUUGCUCGGAAUGACUGGGCGUAAAGGGCGCGUAGGCGGUCACGCACGUCCGUUGUGAAAUCGCUCGGCUCAACUGGGCGGGGUCAGCGGAUACGGCGUGGCUGGAGCAAGCUAGGGGGCAAUGGAAUUCCCGGUGUAGUGGUGGAAUGCGUAGAUAUCGGGAGGAACACCAGUGGCGAAGGCGGUUGCCUGGAGCUUUGCUGACGCUGAUGCGCGAAAGCGUGGGGAGCGAGUCCGG
rnacentral:rRNA from 1 species